CUGAGCGGGAGGAGACGAAGGGACGGUGGACCGGGCGCCAUCCGCGCACCGGGCAGGCGCGGAGACCCGCGUGGGACAGACACCUGGAGCGCAGCUGCCAGGUAUGAACAGUAAUGGAACAUAUUUUGGUUAUGAGUCACCUGGUGGACAGUGGAUUGAAUGAACCGUAUCCAUCCCCAUCAUGAUGUACAACACCAAGUCUCCUCACUAACUCGCGUUUUGCAGUGGAAUAUGAAGAGGAGCUGGAAUACCCAAAAUGUCCUAAUGCUGUCUCUACAUUACUGCCAUGGUACAAUUGUCCAGUUUUACAUAAGCAUAUUGAGGACAAUGAAAACAAUACUCUUACUACUAUUUCACUCAGUUUGGAAUCCUCCAGGUAAUUUACCUGAAAGCAAGAGAGACCAAAGAACAACUAACCACUCUGCCAAAAUUUUCCCCCUGCAGAGCCUGGCGUUAUGAAGUUGAGCUAACAAAGAAGGCUCAGCAGUUAUGGCCUUUGAUGACUC
rnacentral:lncRNA from 1 species